CCCAGUUAAUUUUUUGUAUUUUUAAUAGAGAAGGGGUUUCACCGUGUUAGCCAGGAUAGUCUUGAUCUCCUGACCUCGUGAUCCACCUGCCUCGGCCUCCCAAAGUGCUGGGAUUACACACGUGAGCCACUGCACCCAGCCCAAAAGUUCCAUUUCUAAUUUGCCUACCUUAAUGACUUGAUUUUCUUAUUUUCAUAGUAAAUAGGAAUAUGUAUGUUGAAGAAAUAUGAACAUUAAUUUUCUCAUAACUGCACAGUCAAAAACAAUGUUUUAAACUUUAAUAAAUAUCAAUGACUUGUUUCAUACUUUGCUCCAUUACAAACACAAGGAAAGAAAAGAUGUACAAUGCCUGAGGAAUAGAAACACCAUCAAUCCUCAACAGGGUCACCUAACUGUCAUUAUGAAGCAAGGGACUCUUGCCAGAGAUUUGUGUCCUCAGUGAAAAAGGCCUCAUGGAAUUUUCUUGCUAAAAGGAACCUGAGACUUAUUGACACACGCGUCCUCCUUUUCCAGACGAAACACUCAAGGCUUAGGGAAGUCAAAGUGUACAGAAGGUCCCCGCUAAUUAGCAACAAAGCCAGACUCAGCACCCAGGUUGUUCUCGCUCCUGGAUCAGGGUUAUUUGUGAACAUCCCAUGUCCUCUUUAUGAUGGUUACAGAUGUUUCAUAUCAUCAAGGUUAAGAUGAAAGAUCUCAGAAGCUGCAGAAGUGCUUAGAUGCACCCACAGAAAACCACCGGAUCCAGCUAACUCACUCUUGUGAUUGGAAAGAAGCAUAUUCUGGUGAAGCAAAAGAUUUCUAUCUCCAGAAUAAUGCAGAAAGCAUUUUUACCUACCAAGCCACAACAAACCAGUGAAAGAACAUUUAGAUUUCCAGAGUCCAUCGGCAAUACAAAAGUCACCUAAAGAAUAAUGCCAGAGGCAUAUCUUCUCUUGUAGGUUGUAAAUUCCUUGAAAACGAGAACUGCUCAACUUCCCAUCUCCUACGACACCCAGCACACAGUUGAUGCUGGAAUUUCUUUUUAAUGAAUGAAACACACAAAUCAUUGCUUUAAACCCUGGAAUUGUGCCCUUUUCAAAAGAAGCACUUAAUAGACAUGUGUCUAAUUUCCUGUGCUGUCACAAAUAUUAUUUAAUCACACUGUUAAAAAUAAAGAACUCUGGGGCCCAUGAACUACAUUCUCCAGGCCAUUAGCUGCUCUUUCCACUUUGGGCCUCUCAGCUGUGCAGCCGGAAAUGGAUCGUGGGGAGAGGAGCUGCCACUCUUCUGCAAAUAUCCUGGAAUCUUGGCUAUGUCAGGAAGUGUUUGGAGAAUGCCUUGGAAGCUGAGAAAGUGUUUCCAAAGCAGCAUGCACACGAAGAUAUUUGAACCAGAGAACGUCCACUCUGAAAUAGAUGCAUGGAGUGCAUUCACAGAAUAUCACGUUUUUCUGAAGUUUAAAAGCUACAGCCCAGUACUCUGAACCCAAGAAUUAAGAGAGUUAAGAGAGCAAAUCAAGACAUGAAAAUGAUCCCCCCGUGGAAUAUGCCCCUGCUAUUGAGAGAAUAAACUACUGAUCUACGCAACAGCAUGGAUGAAUCUCAGAGACAUUUUGCUAACUGAGAGAAGUCAGACACAGAAGACAUAGUCAAUGAUUCCAUGUGUAUGAAAUUUCUAGAAAAGGCAAAACUAUAGAGACAGAAUGGCUGAUCAAUGUUGUGGCUGAUCAAAUCGAGGCACAGAAUGAUCAAUGGUUGCCUGGAGCUGCGGGUGGGAACAGGAGUGACCUCAAAGGAGCAAGGGGAACUUUUGGGGGUGGAUGGGAAUAUUGGGAAACUGGACUGUGAUGGUUGCUAAGUGCGUCAGUUCACGGAAACCUAUCACACUGUACCCUCACAAUGAGUGACGUUUAUGGUUUGUAAGUUAGACCUCAAUAAAGCUGUUUGUAAUCAUUUUAUUUAUUCU
rnacentral:lncRNA from 1 species